rnacentral:rRNA from 1 species
AUUGAACGCUGGCGGCAGGCCUAACACAUGCAAGUCGAACGAGUGGCGGACGGGUGAGUAAUGUCUGGGAAACUGCCUGAUGGAGGGGGAUAACUACUGGAAACGGUGGCUAAUACCGCAUACCAUCGGAUGUGCCCAGAUGGGAUUAGCUAGUAGGUGGGGUAAAGGCUCACCUAGGCGACGAUCCCUAGCUGGUCUGAGAGGAUGACCAGCAAAACUGGAACGGAGAAACGGUCCAGACUCCUACGGGAGGAAGCAGGGGGGAAGAUGGGACAAUUGGCGCAAGCCUGAUGCAGCCAUGCCGCGUGUAUGAAGAAGGCCUUCGGGUUGUAAAGUACUUUCAGCGGGGAGGCGUUACCCGCAGAAGAAGCACCGGCUAACUCCGUGCCAGCAGCCGCGGUAAGUC